rnacentral:rRNA from 1 species
GAGAAAAGAACUAACUAUGAUUCCUUUAGUAACAGCGAGUGAACGAGGAAGAGCCCAGCGCUGAAUCUUUCGGUCUAUGACCGCUAAGAAUUGUAGCGUAUAGGUGUGGCUUUCUACGGCCGAUGUAUACUCAAAGUCCCUUUGAUUGGGGCCACAGUCCUGAGAAGGUGCAAGACCUGUACGAGUUGCAUUGUGUUGUAGUCGGUUGCUCCUUGGAGUCGGGUUGCCUGAGAACGCAGCCUGAAUUGGGUGGUAAACUCCAUCUAAGGCUAAAUAGUACUGCGAGUCCGAUAGCAAACAAGUACCGUGAGGGAAAGUUGCAAAGAACUUUGAAGAGAGAGUUCAAGAGUGCGUGAAACCACUGGGAUGGAAACGGAUAGAGUUGACGAAUUGGGCGAUAUUCAGCUGUUUUGCGUGAGCAAAGUGGUGUACUUAUCGUCUGUGUGCGCUGAGAGUCUUGAUUGAACAUUCUAAACCGUCGUUUUUUGUUGCCCGUCGUCUCACGACGAUGGUGUCUUGGGCGUGCGAGAUGGGAUGUUUCGAUUAAGUAUUUUCGGUGUGAAAGUCGACCACCUAUCCGACCCGUCUUGAAACACGGACCAAGGAGUCUAGCGUAUGUGCGAGUCAUUGGGUGGUAAACCUAUUGGCGUAACGAAAGUAAAGGUCGUUUCUUGCGGCUGAUAUGGGAUCCGUACGGUUUCGAUCGUGCGGCGCACCAUAGCCCUGUCUCGAAGGCUUGCCUUGAGAUGGAGGUAGAGCGCAUGCGCUAGGACCCGAAAGAUGGUGAACUAUACGUGAGCAGGAUGAAGCCGGAGGAAACUCUGGUGGAAGUCCGUAACGGUUCUGACGUGCAAAUCGAUCGUCUGACUUGCGUAUAGGGGCGAAAGACUAAUCGAACCAUCUGU